rnacentral:rRNA from 1 species
GACGAACGCUGGCGGCGUGCCUAAUACAUGCAAGUAGAACGCUGAAGGAGGAGCUUGCUUCUCUGGAUGAGUUGCGAAAGGGUGAGUAACGCGUAGGUAACCUGCCUGGUAGCGGGGGAUAACUAUUGGAAACGAUAGCUAAUACCGCAUAAGAGUAGAUGUCGCAUGACAUUUGCUUAAAAGGUGCAAUUGCAUCACUACCAGAUGGACCUGCGUUGUAUUAGCUAGUUGGUGAGGUAACGGCUCACCAAGGCAACGAUACAUAGCCGACCUGAGAGGGUGAUCGGCCACACUGGGACUGAGACACGGCCCAGACUCCUACGGGAGGCAGCAGUAGGGAAUCUUCGGCAAUGGACGGAAGUCUGACCGAGCAACGCCGCGUGAGUGAAGAAGGUUUUCGGAUCGUAAAGCUCUGUUGUAAGAGAAGAACGAGUGUGAGAGUGGAAAGUUCACACUGUGACGGUAUCUAACCAGAAAGGGACGGCUAACUACGUG